AAGAUGGCCGCCAGCCGGUGUUACGGUAAAAAAAUACCUCGUCGUGAAAAGGGUCUAUUAAUCAUAUGGUGUGCUAAAAAGAAGCAAAAGAGGGUUUGACUCCGCAAAGACAAAUGUCAUGACGCCAGCGAAACUUGGGCGUACAAACCCAGGUCGUUUCCACAUUAAGAACUUUUAAUGGUUGAAAAACAUUGUGGACUUUAAAUAGUGCUGACAUACAUGUGUGUUCAAGACAAAAGAAAAUUCAGUAUGAAUUAGUUUUAAAUAUUCAAUUGAUUAAAUUAAACUGUUGCAUUUUUUCAUAAAUGAACACAUUGCAGCAGUGAAUAUCUCUGCUUAACUCAAAAGUGACAGUUAGAUCUUUUAUCAUGUUAAUCAAAAAUGUGUUCCUAAAACUCAUUAUAAAUAUAAAAUUUUCAAACUUGUUUAAACAAGAUAAUUUGGUAUUUAAUUUUAGUAAGCUUUUUGUAUUGCUGUAGGCUUCGAAUAAAUCUUCUGCAUUACCAUGUAAAGAGGAAUCUCAAUAUUUUGUCGUUGAAAUAAUAAAUAGAAAAUUGUUAGUAUUAUUAUCAAAUUUUUGUUGUUCUAUUUCACAUUGCAAAUGGUUACUUGUGAAAACUCUUUUACAAAUAUGUGAUUUUUUUUACAUGCUAUUGAUUUUUAAAAUAUUUUCUUUAACUGAAUGCUCAUUACACUUAGUAACAUGAAUGUAUUGUUACACAUACUCUUAAACUUAAAUAAUACCAAGAUUACCUAUCAUGCAUGAACUAAUGUGUAUGUUUCAGUGAUUGACUGAUUAUACUGAGAAAUAAAACAUAAACGACUUUUA